rnacentral:lncRNA from 1 species
CAAAUAGAUAUUAUGAGAAAGUGGUGCUUUAUCAAAAUAAAAUUACUCUUUUCAAUUCAAGAAAAAGAGAAAUUAAAAACAACGUUUGGGGGCAUGAAGAAAGGCAGACACCCUACCUCAAAGGACCUUUCCAGCGUUAUCCUCUCCUUCUAUUGAAAAAGUGGAAAAUCACAGAGAGCUCACUACAUUGGAGAAGAAAAGCACUAAGUAUAGACUAUACUAGAGGAUAAAUUUAGGGAGCUACCCAGAGGGAUCCGCCUACCACAUCUCUUAGUAAGUGUCAAGAUCAGCGGACCUGCACAGUGGACACUUAUUUGGGGAAUACUUCUAAGUGCUAUUUUCCCCCACAUUUCAGAGGGGAGAUAAAUG